rnacentral:lncRNA from 10 species
UGUGGAUGGAUUGACUUUACUGGAGAGGCCAGAACUCCUCCAUCCCAGUUUCUUCAGAGUCUGCUGAAGGCUGCCUCUAAGCAUGUGGUGUUGGCCAAGGGAGGUGUGAGGGGAGAAGCAGUUUUCAGGUUGAGCUGGAAGGACUUGAGGGGUCAAGUUUCCUGUUCUAUCCUCACUAUUUCUACUUCCUUAUGUUCUUUUCUCAGUCCAACUCCUUAGGGCUUCUGGCCCCCGCUCUCCACCGAGGCUGAUACUGUCACAGCCCUGCGUGCCUCUGUGCUGUCAGCCUCAGUGCCCAUCUCUUGGCUCUGACCUGACAGUUCUACACCAUCCCCUAUUCAUAAAACACACACACUCACAUGCAUGGACACAUGCACACGCACACACGUGCGCACACACAUGCACACAUGUACAUACAUGCGCACACACGCAGACACACAUGCACACAGAUGCAGACGCAGACAUACACACAUGCAGAUGCAGAUACAGACAUGCACUCACAUGCAUACACACAUGCAUGCACACAAGGCACACACAUACACACACAGACACACAGACACACACACACUUUUAGUUGAACACUGUUAUGGGCUGAAUUGUAUUUCCCCCAACUUCAUAUGUUGAAGUCAUAAUCCCAGUGUGACUGUAUUUGAAGGAAGGUCUUUUAAGGAGGUGACUAAGGUUAAGUGAGGCCAUAAGGGUGGGCCCUGAUCCCAUAGGACUCUUGUCCUCACAAGAAGAGGAGGAGAUGCCAGAAGCGUGUGUUCAGGGAGGAAAGGCCACGUGAGGACACAGAAGAACCAUCUGCAAGUCAGGAAAAGAGGCCUCGUCGCCAACCAGCUGACACCUUGAUCUCAGACUUCCAGCCUGCAGAACUGUGAGAAAAUUAAUUUCUGCUGUGUAAGUUACCCAGUCUAUGGUGUUUUGUUACAAGCAGACUGGAAGACGAGUACAGAUUUUGGUACUGCAAGUGGAGUGCUACUCUAGCAAACACCUAAAAAUGUACAGGUGGCCUUGGAACUGCAUAUAGGCUGGAAGAGUUUCACUUGCAGCUGGAAGAAACCUAGAUUGCCCUAAGGGACUGUUGGUAGAAGUAUGGAUGUUAAAGGUAAUUCCAGGGAAGCCUUUGAAAGGAGUCAGUAGAGCUGUAGAGAAAUGUUCUGUUGUCUUAGAGGAUAUAGAAAUAUAAACAGGAUGUUGACACAAACAUGAAUGUGAAAGGAGCUUCUGGUAAGGUCUCAGAAGGAAAUACAGAACAGGUUAUUGGACAAAGGCUAUCCUUAUUAUAAAGUGCCAGAGAACUUGGCUGGAUUGUGCUCUAGUGUCUCGUGGAAGGAAGAAAUUGGGAGUUACAACCUUGGAUAUUUAGCAGAGGAGAUUUCCAAUCAAAACGUUGAAGGUAUGGCCUGAGUUUUUACUGCUUAUUGUUAAAUGUGAGAGGAGAGAGAUACAUUGAAGGAAUUGUUGAGCAAAAAAGAAACAUAGACUGGAUAAAGAAAGUGUGGUCUAUAUACACCAUGGGAUACUAUGCAGCCAUGAAAAAGAAUGAGAUCAUGUCCUUUGCAGGGACCUGGAUGGAGCUGGAGGCCAUUAUCCUUAGCAAAACUAACACAGGAACAGAGAACCAAAUACCACAUGUUCUCACUUAAAAGUGGGAGCUAAAUAACAAGAACACAUGGACCCAAAGAGGGGGACAACAGA